rnacentral:rRNA from 1 species
GUGACGGCUCGAGCAGGUGCGAAAGCAGGUCUUAGUGAUCCGGUGGUUCUGAAUGGAAGGGCCAUCGCUCAACGGAUAAAAGGUACUCCGGGGAUAACAGGCUGAUACCGCCCAAGAGUUCAUAUCGACGGCGGUGUUUGGCACCUCGAUGUCGGCUCAUCACAUCCUGGGGCUGAAGUAGGUCCCAAGGGUAUGGCUGUUCGCCAUUUAAAGUGGUACGCGAGCUGGGUUUAGAACGUCGUGAGACAGUUCGGUCCCUAUCUGCCGUGGGCGCUGGAGAAUUGAGGGGGGCUGCUCCUAGUACGAGAGGACCGGAGUGGACGCAUCACUGGUGUUCGGGUUGUCAUGCCAAUGGCAUUGCCCGGUAGCUAAAUGCGGAAGAGAUAAGUGCUGAAAGCAUCUAAGCACGAAACUUGCCCCG